CCUCAGUGCCAUCACAUCGUUGCUGAGUUCUCGAUUCACAAAUCUCACUGAUACCCUAAAAGUGCUGAAUGUGACUUACCAGAGAAUUUCAAACACCUCCUAUGCACUCAUCUUCAACAUCAGCAUCAGUAAUAUUAGCAUUUCAGAGAACCGUGAAAUUGAGAACAACACCUACAGUCAAGUGGAGAACGCCAUCAAUAAUGCCCUAAACACACUGCUCAAUGCACCUAAUGCAGAUCCAUUUACACCCAAGUCCUCCAACUACACAUUAUCAGGAAAGCAGAUUGGAGGUGAAAUUGAGUACAGCUUUCAAAAUGGAGAUACUAAA